GGAUUUGAUCUCCCAGAGAUGCUAUCAGUUUGAAGCAUCCACUGGAUAACAUAAGUUCCUGAAUGGGGACUCCAUCAGCAAUGAUGAAUGUCAAGUUUAUCCUCACUUCACUUCUAGCACUGGCCCUCCUAGGGUCCGGGGGAGCAGCCUGGAUCAAACCCCAGCUGACAGAAGUACGUGGAACAGAGGGGAAGAGUAUGGACCUCCUUUGUAAUUACAGCGCUUCAUCUGAAGGCUUUGUCAAUCUCUACUGGUUUCGACAGUAUCCAAACCAGGCACUGGAAUAUAUUCUCUACAGAGGAUGGGGGUACUCUGGAAAAGGAGAUGCCAGAUUUGCUGCAGAAAAGUUUUAUUCAAAGAGUACAGCAAAAGAAACAAAUUUACACAUCAGAAAUCUGGUGCCUGCAGACUCUGCCUUGUAUUACUGUGCUCUGAGAGAGGCACGCUGGGAGCUCUGUACAGGGCCGCUGUGCAAGAACAACAUGCAGGGCAGGAAGGAGAGUGUGGCUCACAGCUUCACACGGGCUUUUUUUUUUUUUCAAGACACAGCAUGGUAG